rnacentral:misc_RNA from 1 species
AACGCAUAUUGUGCUCUUUGGUAUUCCAAAGAGCAUGCUUGUUUGAGUAUCAGUAAACACCUCAACCUCUCUUUUUUGAUAAAAAAAAGGGAGGGUGGACUUGAGCUAUCCCAACGACCUUCACUGGUAGGCAGGCAGCUUGAAAUGCAGGUGCAGCUGGACUUUUAUCUGAGCUAAAAGCAUAUCUAUUUAGUCCUCAUCAAACAGGAUUAUUACUUUUGCUGCAGCUAACAUAAAGGAUAAUUGUCCUCUUUGCUGACUGAUGCAGGAUUUUAUGACACUUUAUGUGUUGUUCAACUCGAUCUCAAAUCAAGUAAGACUACCUGCUGAACUUAA